ACUCGUCUACUCGGAUACUCAGAUACAUUUGUGUAGCAGACACAUUUGGCGUGUUAACAAGCAGCUCACAGUAGCCGCUGCCAACUGAAAAACAUGUGACAAUUGCCAACUUUGAAUAAUGAAUGAAUUCUGAAUAGAAAUACAAGUUCUCGACUGCGUGUGUGCGUGUGUGUGUGUGUGUGUGUGUGUGUGUGUGUGUCUGAACUGAGCCAUGUCAACUGGCCAGUUAUUUAUUUGGGGUUUUGUGCCAAUCGACAGACGUUUUGUACAAGUAAUUGAAAUAAUAUUGCGCAUACGCAACGUUGCCCAAUGCGUAAUUCAAGCUGCGGCCAAGCAAAUGAGUUUUGCCCCACACAAUUGCUAUACUUAUGUAUCUAUAUGUAUAUAUAUGAAUAGUUAAGUACUCGCAAUUGAAUAAAAAUCAUCAUGCACGAGGGUUGCUGCAAUGAUUGCGCAUGGAAAACAAAUGGAAACAAUUUAAUUUUGCAGCCUGAUCAAAAAAAGUUUCCCCUCCGCCUCCGGAGACCGUGACAAAGCACAACGAAUGCUACCAUGGAUUACAAAUGAAAUGUGAUGCUUGGCAGCUGGCAAUUGAUGGGCAGCCAUUUAUUGCGAUACAUUUACUCAACAAGUUGCUCAAGUUGCCAAACUUAAUUAAUUUCCUCGACAAUCAAUGCAAAUGAAAAGCGCGAAAAGCGUUGGAAAGUCGAAAUGACAUGCGGAUGCAUUUCUUUAAAUAGCGACAAUAUAACUCCAUUCAGAUCUGAGGCAAGAUUUUACAUAAAAUACAAUAUCGCAGCAGCUUGUAAUUAAAUUCCUGGUUCUAAUGACUAAGAAAUAAAUCAUUUCCUCGUUAACAGCAA